UAUUUAAAAUUUUGCUGAUGGAUUGUUUGAAGCUCUGAAAAAUCUCAAUUUUAUAUUAUUCACUGCUAUUCCUCGUUCUGUAGAGUUGGAGUUUCGAUUGAAGGUAAAUGCUUAAUUUUGAAGUUCUAAAUAUCAAUUCUAUCCUCAUAUGGUACUAAUUGCAUCCGAUUCAAUUGUACAUGCUAUCGUACUUUACUGGCCAUUAUUUAGAUGUUUAGAACUUCUGAAUAAGCUGGGAAGAAAAUAGAAAGGGAAAAACGAGAGUUUUCGAUGAGAAAGUUGGGCAUAAACGAAAAUGGAGUAGUGGGGACUGACAAGUAACAGAAAAUUCUGACUUUUUCUUGGUGGAUGCUGUAGAAGUCUCACGAAGCAGAAAAAUUAACAAGAGCCAACCAUUAUUAUUUCCAGUUAUAUUUUCUUAUUACCUAAAGUCAUGUUGAAUUGGAUUAUAUUGCUUUUAAUUUCCAGCAUGAACUAAAUUUCUUUUACUUCUAGGAAAACGAUGUAAUCUAGUUUCAAUUAUGCUUGCCUUUCUAUGCUAAAAUUGAAGUAAUUCUCCAUUAAGUUUGUCUGAUUUAUUCCUUGCUUAUUGCUUCUAAGUAACUGGCCAUUAUUUAGAUAAUUAUAAGAAAAGCUUCUAGUUUUGAGGUGCUGACUCAUUUUCAGGUUGGGGUGGGUUGGCCCUUAAAUAAUUGUAAAACGUGACGUAGAUUUAGGGAAUGAUGUAAAUUUUGGUUGAUUUAGCAUAAAUAUAGAAAUCUAUGCAAAGCACUCUUUAUGCCAUUGAUAUAUGGUGAGACAGCCCGGAUCUAAUUAAUAAAAUGAGUAGCAAGGUUUAAAAAUUUUAGAGGAUCUAAUCUAAUUUACAAAAUGAGUAAUGGAAUCUGUUUUCUAGAAAAAAAAAACAAUUUUUGCAUGUUUAAUUGAUUAUGAAUCUCAAGUUGCUAUUAUACAACAAGUAAUUUUACUUGUUUUCUCUAAAUGCCAGCUUGCUGUAUUCAUCAAGAAUAUUGAGUCUGUGUGCCUGGAAACUGAAUUGGGUAUGGCUUAUGCUGCUCUACUUCCACUUGCUCAAACACUAGAACAGAUCCUGGGUUCGUGCCCUGAAGAGAAACAGAUCAAUUCCUCCAUGAAAAGCUUAGCUUCUUGCUAUCAUUUCUGGACAAUUCUUCACCCAAAAAUAUUGAAUCAAUGACACGUUUGGAAGCAAGAAUCCGAGAUGCAACAUAUGAAGCAGAAGAUGUUGACCUCGCAAAUUGGACCCACCAUGUGGCCAAUCGAUAGCUACUCCACGUAUUCCUCCCUGUGCACAAUCAAUGCACGGUCAGAUGCAUACGGCCGGACCAGCGGGGGUGGCGGCGGCCGCAUACACUCCGAC
rnacentral:lncRNA from 1 species